UGCCAGACUCCUACGGGAGGCAGCAGUGGGGGAUAUUGCACAAUGGGGGGAACCCUGAUGCAGCGACGCCGCGUGGGUGAAGAAGCGCCUCGGCGCGUAAAGCUCUAUCAGCAGGGAAGAAAAUGACGGUACCUGAGUAAGAAGCCCCGGCUAACUACGUGCCAGCAGCCGCGGUAAUACGUAGGGGGCAAGCGUUAUCCGGAUUUACUGGGUGUAAAGGGAGCGUAGACGGCAUGGCAAGUCAGAUGUGAAAGCCCGGGGCUCAACCCCGGGACUGCAUUUGAAACUGUCAGGCUGGAGUGCAGGAGAGGUAAGUGGAAUUCCUAGUGUAGCGGUGAAAUGCGUAGAUAUUAGGAGGAACACCAGUGGCGAAGGCGGCUUGCUGGACCGUAACUGACGUUGAGGCUCGAAAGCGUGGGGAGCAAACAGGAUUAGAUACCCCUGUA
rnacentral:rRNA from 1 species